ACUUAGCCCAGAUUGAAACGGCAUCCUUUUUGCUUUUUCAGCAAAAAGAUAUAGUUGAAAGCUGGAAAUAGC
rnacentral:sRNA from 1 species